GCCACAUGAUGACUCAUGUAGAUCCAGGAGCCUUCGGGCUGUGCUGACCUCCCAUCUACCACCCUUGUCUGAUGGCU